CCUACGGGAGGCAGCAGUAAGGAAUAUUGGUCAAUGGAGGCAACUCUGAACCAGCCAUGCCGCGUGCAGGAAGACUGCCCUAUGGGUUGUAAACUGCUUUUAUCCGGGAAUAAACCUACUUACGUGUAAGUAGCUGAAUGUACCGGAAGAAUAAGGAUCGGCUAACUCCGUGCCAGCAGCCGCGGUAAUACGGAGGAUCCAAGCGUUAUCCGGAUUUAUUGGGUUUAAAGGGUGCGUAGGCGGCCUGUUAAGUCAGGGGUGAAAGACGGUAGCUCAACUAUCGCAGUGCCCUUGAUACUGAUGGGCUUGAAUGGACUAGGGGUAGGCGGAAUGAGACAAGUAGCGGUGAAAUGCAUAGAUAUGUCUCAGAACACCGAUUGCGAAGGCAGCUUACUAUGGUCUUAUUGACGCUGAGGCACGAAAGCGUGGGGAUCAAACAGGAUUAGAUACCCUGGUAGUCCACGCCCUAAACGAUGAACACUCGCUGUUGGCGAUACACAGUCAGCGGCUAAGCGAAAGCGUUAAGUGUUCCACCUGGGGAGUACGCCCGCAAGGGUGAAACUCAAAGGAAUUGACGG
rnacentral:rRNA from 1 species